GACGAACGCUGGCGGCGUGCUUAACACAUGCAAGUCACGGGGCCCGCAAGGGUAACCGGCGAACGGGUGCGUAACACGUGAGCAAUCUGCCGUACUCUGGGGAUAGCCGGCCCAACGGCCGGGUAAUACCGCAUACGCUCCUCUGCCGGCAUCGGCGGGGGAGGAAACCUCCGGGGGAGUACGAGGAGCUCGCGGCCUAUCAGCUAGUUGGUGGGGUAACGGCCUACCAAGGCAUUGACGGGUAGCUGGUCUGAGAGGAUGGCCAGCCACAUUGGGACUGAGAUACGGCCCAGACUCCUACGGGAGGCAGCAGUGGGGAAUAUUGCGCAAUGGCCGCAAGGCUGACGCAGCGACGCCGCGUGGGGGAUGAAGCAUUUCGGUGUGUAAACCCCUGUUGCUCGGGACGAACAAGCCUUUUCGAGGGCUCUGACGGUACCGAGUGAGGAAGCACCGGCUAACUCCGUG
rnacentral:rRNA from 1 species